AGUGUCUCAUGAUCCCUUCUGACUUGCACAAUCUAUUAAACUCAUCAGAACAGAACUCUAAGCCAUUGUCUGUACGGAGGAAGAACGCCCAAACUUUUCUGGAAAAAUCAUCAAUAAAGGUUAGCAUAUAAUUAGCUCCACCUCUCGAAGGCACUCUGGACGGCCCCCACAGAUCAGAAUGGAUAUACUCCAACGUUUCCUUCGUGUUAUGGAUUCCUCUAGUGAAUCGAACUCUCUUUUGCUUCCCAAAAACACAGUGCUCACAGAAAUUCAGUUUGCAAAUUCCUUGCCCAUUAAGAA